AUUGAACGCUGGCGGCAUGCCUUACACAUGCAAGUCGAACGGUAACGGGCCUUCGGGUGCCGACGAGUGGCGAACGGGUGAGUAAUGUAUCGGAACGUACCUUUCAGUGGGGGAUAACGUAGCGAAAGUUACGCUAAUACCGCUUAUUCUGUGCGCAGGAAAGCAGGGGAUCGCAAGACCUUGCGCUGAUUGAGCGGCCGAUAUCAGAUUAGCUAGUUGGUGAGGUAAAGGCUCACCAAGGCGACGAUCUGUAGCGGGUCUGAGAGGAUGAUCCGCCACACUGGAACUGAGACACGGUCCAGACUCCGACGGGAGGCAGCAGUGGGGAAUUUUGGACAAUGGGGGCAACCCUGAUCCAGCCAUGCCGCGUGAGUGAAGAAGGCCUUCGGGUUGUAAAGCUCUUUCGGCCGGGAAGAAAUCGUAUCAGCGAAUACCUGGUGCGGAUGACGGUACCGGCAUAAGAAGCACCGGCUAACUACGUGCCAGCCGCCGCAGUAACAC
rnacentral:rRNA from 1 species